CCAGGACAUGGCAGGGUUCUGUCUCCCCCUUGAGGGGACCAGCCAGAGCACACUCAUCUCAGCUUCUUAACCCAGAGGCCAUUCUCUUUUGUACAGAGUCAGGGCUCUGCCUGGAUACCCACUGACACUCUUCCUGAACACGGGCUGGGCUGUGGGUCAGCUGCUCGGAGGAGGCCAUCUCUGAAAACCUGGGACGUGCACAGAGUUGAGAAAGUCUGAAGCGCCUGGUGCCCGUGCUCCAAGCUGAGAUGGAACCUGACAACACUGCCUUCUUGCUUCAGCUCUUAUACUGUAAACAAGUGUCCUUUUCAUGGUCUAUUGUGUCACAUUUUUUGAAUUUUUGUGCUUUUUGUUGGUGAUUUUGUCAUUUAAAGUGGCCUGGAGGUGUCAUGCCGAAGUGCUGUCUCGUGCUGGAGAAGGCUGCGAUGAGCCCUAUGGAGAGGACACAAGUGCCUGAUGAGCUUCAUUCAGAUCCCAGGUACACUGUUGGAAGAUGAAGGCUGCCAUUCAUCCUACAGCUGGUCUCUGUAUCAUCAAGCUCCAUCUGGGACCAUCCCUCCUCCCGAAUCCUGGCAUCAGUUCUCCCUUGGGCCUUCCUUCCCUCUACCCGAAAGGGCGCCGCUGUGGGUAAGGAAGCUGGAAAUCUUACUUGCUUCCUUGUUCCUGCCUGGCCUGUAGGAGGGAGGGGUUUCCCUGAGAACGAGCUCUUCUGAGGGGGAGCUCUCUUCACAGAACCCAAACACCUGUGCUCACUCCUCUCAUGUCCAGUGCACAGGAUAACCUCCUCCUGUGGCCUUUCUGUCCUGCGUCUUCCACGGCUGUGACAGGCCUUAAAAGACUCUGAGGAAGGUUCCCGAAUACAUUUUCUCUUCCGUUCUGAGCGCUUUGUGUGGAAGGGGCCAGUUGUGGUGCCUGUCUGACUGCAGCCCCCAGCUUCAAUUCAAUCUGCUGCCUGGGCUCCCGCCUACCCCGAGAGGUGAGCCCGGGGUGCGGACUGGAGCCCACACACGCACGGUCACGAGGUGGACACUUCUCACCCAGUGUCCCCAGUGUCUGCCCUGACCCCGUUCGGGCUUUGACCCACCCUGACAGGCCUUGGUUCCCACCUAGCAGAUGGUAGCGACAAUGAAUGCACCGCAAACAGCCAGCAUCACAGCAAUGAGCCCUACCUGAAGCUUUGAGGAAGAUGAUGUAGGAAAAACACACACUUCACAGGUGUGACUGCCAAAUGGCAGCAAAGGAGCCAGGCAGCAUGAGUGGGUUCUGUGAGGAGGAAGGGGCUGGGCACAGGGAGGGUGUGUCUUCAGGGUCUUCUAGGCAGUAGGUACCCCCUACAGCCUCUUUCCUCUGAGGAGGCCCCCUACUCUCCCUCCGAGCACUGAGGGUCCCUGGAAUCUCCACCCACGCAACACCAGCCUCAGCUCCUGACCUUAACAUUCUUGCUUAGUGACUGACAUUAAGCAAGCAGGUCCUCUGUUGCCACUAGCCGCUGUCACAGAAACCGUGGGAGACAUCCUACACUGCGGGACUCCCUGUUUCCCACCAUUUCUCCUUCCUUGCCCCGCACCCCUAUUCCUGGUCAGUCUUGCUCCCCAGCUGCUUCCUUCCCCAGGGGAAAACCGUCUCAACCGUCACAGCUGGUCUGGGCCCAGAACGCAGCCGGAAGCCAGGAGAACAAAGCCUGACACCCAGCCAGCAGACCUUGUCAUCACCUUCCAGGCUCCCUACCUCUGGCUCAGCCAGCCCGCAUCCCUGAGCUUUCUGCUCCUGGCUUCCCUGAUCCCCCAGACUCCAGCUGGGUGCUGAAGUGAGGCCCGACUUAACCCAGAAUUUACUCCACAAAAGGAAAGGAAGAAGAUUCGUUUCCCCUGGGGCUGGCAAGGACUUGGGAGAGCAGGAGGCUGGUCAAGGAGGAAGCGUGGGCUCAGGGGCCAGGCCUGGAGGUCACGGAGACUCUUUCCAGUCUGGAGCUCACACACAGCCCCCAGGGCCGCGGGAGAGUUGGCCUUUCUGCCCCAAGGCGGCAGGUUCUCGCCCUUUGGGACCCGAGGUGGGCGGGGGUGGGGGCGAGAGAUGAGACAAAUGGCAAAGCCCCAGGUAUAAACACUUGCUGGGAACAUUUGA